rnacentral:rRNA from 1 species
CCUACGGGUGGCUGCAGCGAGGAAUCUUGGGCAAUGGGCGAAAGCCUGACCCAGCGACGCCGCGUGAGGGAAGAAGGCCUUCGGGUCGUAAACCUCUUUUGUGAGGGAAGAAGUUCUGACGGUACCUCACGAAUAAGCCACGACUAACUACGUGCCAGCAGCCGCGGUAAUACGUAGGUGGCAAGCGUUGUCCGGAUUUACUGGGCGUAAAGGGCUUGUAGGCGGUUCGUUAAGUCCGGUGUGAAAUCUCCCGGCUCAACUGGGAGGGGCCAUUGGAUACUGGCGGACUAGAGGCGGGUAGAGGAAAGCAGAAUUCCCGGUGUAGCGGUGAAAUGCGUAGAUAUCGGGAGGAAUACCAGUGGCGAAGGCGGCUUUCUGGACCUGUCCUGACGCUGAGGAGCGAAAGCGUGGGGAGCAAACCGGAUUAGAUACCCGGGUAGUCCACGCCCUAAACGGUGGAUGCUAGGUGUGGGGGGUGUCGACCCCCUCCGUGCCGCAGCUAACGCUUUAAGCAUCCCGCCUGGGGAGUACGGCCGCAAGGUUA